GACGAACGCUGGCGGCGUGCUUAACACAUGCAAGUCGAACGGUGAAGCGCCUUCCUUUUUGGUGGGUGUGGAUGAGUGGCGAACGGGUGAGUAACACGUGAGUAACCUGCCCCCUUCUUCUGGAUAACCGCAUGAAAGUGUGGCUAAUACGGGAUAUUCUGGGUCUGUCGCAUGAUGGGUCUGGGAAAGAUAUUGUUUCGGUGGGGGAUGGGCUCGCGGCCUAUCAGCUUGUUGGUGGGGUGAAGGCCUACCAAGGCGGUGACGGGUAGCCGGCCUGAGAGGGUGGACGGUCACACUGGGACUGAGACACGGCCCAGACUCAUACGGGAGGCAGCAGUGGGGAAUAUUGCACAAUGGGCGAAAGCCUGAUGCAGCGACGCCGCGUGAGGGAUGGAGGCCUUCGGGUUGUGAACCUCUUUCGCCAGUGAAGCAGGCCUGCCUCGUUUGUGGGUGGGUUGACGGUAGCUGGAUAAGAAGCGCCGGCUAACUACGUG
rnacentral:rRNA from 1 species